rnacentral:rRNA from 1 species
UACGUAGGGACCGAGCGUUGUCCGGAUUCAUUGGGCGUAAAGAGCUCGUAGGCGGCCACUCAAGUCGAAUGUGAAACCUCGAGGCUCAACCUCGAGCCUGCAUUCGAUACUGGGCGGCUAGAGUCUGGUAGGGGGAUCUGGAAUUCCUGGUGUAGCGGUGGAAUGCGCAGAUAUCAGGAGGAACACCGGUGGCGAAGGCGGGAUCCUGGGCCGAUACUGACGCUGAGGAGCGAAAGCGUGGGGAGCGAACAGG